GCUGAGGGUAGCUGAGCCUGUUGCUGGGGCUCACUGACAGUCACGACCCUCACAGCUUCCUCUGCAGGAGAUGCUAAUUUUAAUGCAUGAAUUAUUCAAGCCUGCACCGGGAGACAGUUGGAUGUAAUUACUAAGGAACGUGUUCGUAUCUCCUGCUGCUGUAACUUCCACCCCCCUCCCUGGUCGCCUUCUGGGAAGCCUGAAUUCUUUCACUGCCAGUAAUUCCCGUGUUUUUCUCCUCAGUCUGGAGCCGUAUCACGGAAGCAGUUGGUAAUUACUCAGAGCCACGUUUGGCUUUGCAGCGUGGAAAUCUGCUGGAAAUCGGCUCGGUUCGUAAGCAAAUGGCCCAGGUGCAGAAAUGGUUCAGGUUAGCUGAGUGUCCUCUGGCGUGGUCUAAGAGCCUCAUUUGUCUCCCUGUGAAAUAUCAGUGCUGAUCCCAUGGACAGGGAGGAAGAGGCACUGGAAAGUGAUGGGCACGAUGGCAAUAAGGACUUCUGGUUGUAUAGAAGAAAAUGCAUUAGCUUCAGUACAGAGAAGACUACCGAAAGUAAUCUGAGCCUGAUGUAUCAAUUUCUUCCCCCAAAAUAAGCAGUGUCUACC